UACGUAGGUCCCGAGCGUUGUCCGGAUUUAUUGGGCGUAAAGCGAGCGCAGGUGGUUUAUUAAGUCUGGUGUAAAAGGCAGUGGCUCAACCACUGUAUGCAUUGGAAACUGGUAGACUUGAGUGCAGGAGAGGAGAGUGGAAUUCCAUGUGUAGCGGUGAAAUGCGUAGAUAUAUGGAGGAACACCGGUGGCGAAAGCGGCUCUCUGGCCCGUAACUGACACUGAGGCUCGAAAGCGUGGGGAGCAAACAGG
rnacentral:rRNA from 1 species